GCGGCGGUGCCGAGGUCGAGGCCUGCCAUGCUUCUCCGCUAGCUCAUGUACUGAUGUAGCUCGCUCUCUCUCGCUAGCAAAUUCUUUUUAAAAAAUCUAAAAAAAAGCGAAGAAAAAAAGAGAGAAAAAACCAGAAUUGGAACAGAGAGUGGUGUUUUGUUUUUAGGGUUAAAAGGCAGUGUUGGAAAAGGAAGCAAUGAUUUUUAAAGUGGGGAGUUGUUUAUACUCCUCCUUGUUUUUAAUUUUUUUUGAUGCACAGAGAAGCAAACAGAGAAGAAACUAAAAAAAGAACCACAAGAGAGCUUGCAUGGAGGAGAGAACACCAAGAGAGCUAUAGCUGUUUGCUCUGAAUUGGAGAAGCCAAGGAGAGAGGAGAGGAGAAAGGCAAGCUAGGAGGAGGAGGAAGAAGAAGAAGAAGAGAGGAGAAAAGGAAGGGCUUUGAGAUGUUCUUCCAACCAGAGGUAGGAGGUGCAACACAUAAAAUAAGGAGA
rnacentral:lncRNA from 1 species